rnacentral:rRNA from 1 species
UCCAGACUCCUACGGGAGGCAGCAGUGGGGGAUAUUGCACAAUGGGGGGAACCCUGAUGCAGCGACGCCGCGUGGGUGAAGGAGCGUUUCGGCGCGUAAAGCCCUAUCGGCAGGGAAGAAGGAGGACGGUACCUGACUAAGAAGCCCCGGCUAACUACGUGCCAGCAGCCGCGGUAAUACGUAGGGGGCAAGCGUUAUCCGGAUUUACUGGGUGUAAAGGGGGCGCAGACGGCAGCGCAAGCCAGGAGUGAAAGCCCGGGGCGCAGCCCCGGGACUGCUCUUGGAACUGCGCGGCUGGAGUGCAGGAGGGGCAGGCGGAAUUCCUGGUGUAGCGGUGAAAUGCGUAGAUAUCAGGAGGAACACCGGUGGCGAAGGCGGCCUGCUGGACUGCGACUGACGUUGAGGCCCGAAAGCGUGGGGAGCAAACAGGAUUAGAUACCCGCG